rnacentral:rRNA from 1 species
AAACUCAAAUGAAUUGACGGGGACCCGCACAAGCGGUGGAUGAUGUGGAUUAAUUCGAUGCAACGCGAAAACCUUACCUACCCUUGACAUGCCAGGAAUUCUGCUGAGAGGUGGAAGUGCCCGAAAGGGAACCUGGACACAGGUGCUGCAUGGCUGUCGUCAGCUCGUGUCGUGAGAUGUUGGGUUAAGUCCCGCAACGAGCGCAACCCUUGUCGUUAAUUGCCAUCAUUCAGUUGGGCACUUUAACGAGACUGCCGGUGACAAACCGGAGGAAGGUGGGGAUGACGUCAAGUCCUCAUGGCCCUUAUGGGUAGGGCUUCACACGUCAUACAAUGGUCGGUACAGAGGGUUGCCAACCCGCGAGGGGGAGCCAAUCCCAGAAAGCCGAUCGUAGUCCGGAUCGGAGUCUGCAACUCGACUCCGUGAAGUCGGAAUCGCUAGUAAUCGUGGAUCAGCAUGUCACGGUGAAUACGUUCCCGGGUCUU